rnacentral:lncRNA from 1 species
AGUCAUGUCCAGUUCUGUAAACAAAUUCUCAACUGCACCAGAAGGCCUGACAGUUAAGAGAACCCAGUGAAGAAACCUUUUGCAGAGAGAGAAAAGAACCCUUUUGAAUGUGAUCAAUCACGCUGAUUUAUUUGGAUGAUUUCUCUUCUGGAUUUCCUUAAACCAGGGAAAACCCAGAGACAGAGGUCUUGCUAUGUUGCCCAGGCUGGUCUCAAGCUCCUGGCCUCAAGCGAUUCUCCUUCCUCAGCCUCCAAAAGUGCUGGGAUUACAGAGAGGAGUCUGUCGGGAAAACAUGCACCCUCUACAAAGGAGUGAUUCAGAUGACCUGGUCUCAGCUUCCAGCUCCUCUGCUCUCCAGCCGUUCACACACUCCCCAUCACAGGAAGAUUUGUUAAAAGCCAACCAAGAAAGAGAGAGAAUUUGAGAUCCUGCACAAACAAUCCUAGAAGGUGCCAGAAGCUGCCAGAAGCUUCUUCUUUUCCAAGAAGCCACCACUUUGACUGCAGCCACAAAUGACUGCCCACUCCUGCAGGAAGACAGGAGGACCCCAGAGCCCUAUGUGCUCUGCCCCUGUCUACAGACCUGCCUCUCACCGCAUGCCCACAGUCACCACAUGUCAGCCAUGGCAAACUACCUGGGGACCCCCAAGCGACCUGCUUGUGGGGCUCUGCACCCUGGUGCCAGUUCUUCUUUUAGCCUGGGGUCCUCCACCUGCCCUCUGCCUCAAUGGCUCAGUAGAGCCUUCAGAGCUCACAUAUCAGCUCCUCCAAAAAGUGGUGCCGGACCCUGCCUCCCGUCCCUGAAAACCGAGCUUGCACUGUCACAUUUAACAUGUUGUGCCUGACCUAUUCUUCUACACUUCUGUCCUCGUGACGUGGGGUCUGCUGGAGGCCAGUGAAUGUGAAUUUUAUCUUUGUACUUGCAGGGCACAACACGACACUAGGUAUGGAUUAGAUGCUCAGUAACAAUUUUAAACUGGUUUAAAAGUAAUUCCAACAUUGCAGAAGGGUCUAAGGCAAAAAAUGAAUAAAAGUUUCCUGCCACUUCUCAAUCUCAUUCUUCAGAGGCAUCCACAUACACGAGGAAAGCAGUCUUCUAGAUAUUGACUACGCCUGAAUGACCAUACUACAUGUGCACUCAGGCACCGAGCACAUAAGCAUAUGCACAGGACCAUAUAAGCCACGCUGUCCCAUGCUUGCCCUUUUCACUUUAGCAAUGUAUCUUUUUUUUUUUUUUUAAGAGGCAGAGUCUUGCUUUAUCACUCAGGCUGAAGUGCAGUGGUGCAAUCAUAGCUCACUAUAGCCUUGAGCUCCUGGCUUUGAGUGAUCCUCCCACCUCAGCCUCCUGAGUAGUUGGGAUUAUAGGUGAGCCACCAUGCCUGUCCAGCAAUUGAGCUUUAUUUUAUUUUUUUGAGAUGGAGUCUCCCUCUGUUGCCCAGGCUAGAGUGCAGAGGUACAGUGCAACCUCUGCUUCCUGGGUUCAAGCGAUUCUCCUGCCUCAGCCUCCUGAGUAGCUGGGAUUACAGUUGUCCACCACCAUGCCUCUCUAAUUUUUUGUAUUUUUAGUAGAGAUGGGGUUUAACCAUGUUGGCCAGGCUGGUCUUGAACUCCUGACCUUAAGUGAUCCUCCUGCUUCGGCCUCCCAAAGUGCUGGGAUUACAAGUGUGAGCCACCAUGCCUGGCCUGGCCAGCAAUAUAGCUUUUAAAACUUUCCAUGGCAACAUGUAUAGAUCUACAUUAAUCUAUCGAUGCAUAAUAUACCAUAAUAGAAGUCUAGAAAAGUCUAUUUAAACAAUCUCACAUUUUAAAUUGCUUUUUUUCUAUUUUAGACAGUGCUGUAUCCGCAUCCCCUCUCUCUCUAUCUCUCUUUUUUUUUCUUUUUUUUUUUUUGGAGACAGGGUCUCACUCUGUUGCCCAGAUUGGAGUGCAGUGGCUCUAUCUCAGCUCACUGCAACCUUCACCUCCCGGGUUCAAACAAUUCUCCUGCCUCAGCCUCCCGAGUAGCUGGGAUUGAUUACAGCUGCCUGCCAUCACGCCUAGCUAAUUUUUGUAUUUUUAGUAGAGACAGGGUUUCACCAUGUUGGCCAGGCUGGUCUCAAACUCCUGCCCUCAGGUGAUCCACCCACCUCAGCCUCCCAAAGUGCUGGGAUUACAGGCCUGAGCCACCGCACCUGGCUGUUAUAAUCUCUUUUUAUAUGCACCUAUUUGCUUUUGUACAUGGGUAUAGGACAAAUUUCUAGAAAUGAAAUUGGUAGGACAUAGAAAGGGCAUUUAGAAUUUGUCAAAGGUCUCCGAAAAGGUGGCAACAAAUCAAACUCCAAGCACAGGGCAGGAGUCUUUUUCCAGAAACUCUUGCCAACACAAUGUAGUCACCUUUGUAAUUUUUACUAGUCUGAAGAAUACAAUUCACUCUUCUGACUGGCACUAAUUUGAGAAAAGUUGUAUUUUUAAAAUGUUAUCAUUGGUCAUUUGUAUUUCUUUUUCAGUGAACUACUUAGUUACAAUAUCCUUUGCUCAUUGUCCUAUUUGGUAUUUUUCGCUUUCAUAUUGAUUUGCCUAGGUCCUUUAGAUUUUAAUGAAAUUAGCCUGUAUACAUACAUACAUAUAUAUAUAUAUAUAUAUAUAUAUAUAUAUAUGUAUAAAAUCUCUUCCCCCCCAGUUUGUUGUAUAUUAUUUCUUCUUAUUUCUUAUUUAUUUAUUUUUGCCUCAUAAAAGUUUUAAAUAUAAAUUUAGUAGUCACAUUUAACAAUCUUGUCCUGGCUUCUGAGCAGAUACGCUCAUUAAAAGAUACGAGUAAAUAAAAGAAUAAACAAA